rnacentral:rRNA from 1 species
UACGUAGGGUGCGAGCGUUGUCCGGAAUUACUGGGCGUAAAGAGCUCGUAGGUGGUUUGUCGCGUUGUUCGUGAAAUCCCACGGCUUAACUGUGGGCGUGCGGGCGAUACGGGCAGACUGGAGUACUGCAGGGGAGACUGGAAUUCCUGGUGUAGCGGUGGAAUGCGCAGAUAUCAGGAGGAACACCGGUGGCGAAGGCGGUUCUCUGGGCCUGACCUGACGCUGAGGAGCGAAAGCGUGGGGAGCGAACAGG